rnacentral:sRNA from 1 species
AAGCUAAAGAUUCAAAAGGAGGACUUUCAGGUAUAAUUUAUAUCAGCUUAGUUGUCUGCCCUACAUGUAGCAGUGCUGGAACUUGUAACUUAAAUAAAACCCGGGAAACAGAAUACCUUGGAGGCAAAUUUCUUUUGAAUCCGUGUAAUUGUUGGCCUGCUUACACAGGCAAUGAUUGUGAAAGAGAAGUGGAUGGCUGCUUAGCUGCUCCUUGUAGCCAAGGUCAGACUUGCAGAGAUCUCACAGCUGCCGAACAAAAAAAUAGUACUGUUGGUUAUGACUGUGGAGCUUGCCCCGAUGGUUAUGAGCUUAGAAAUUCAACAUGUACAGAUAUUAAUGAAUGUGGAAACAAAACUAACUAUUGUGAUGCCAAUGAAUUGUGUGAAAACUCAGUAGGCUCCUACAGAUGUUACUGUGACGUAGGCUAUCGCAAAGACUCCAGGGAUAAAU